UACGUAGGGUGCAAGCGUUAAUCGGAAUUACUGGGCGUAAAGCGUGCGCAGGCGGUCGUGUAAGACAGAUGUGAAAUCUCCGGGCUCAACCUGGGAACUGCAUUUGUGACUGCACGGCUGGAGUGCGGCAGAGGGGGAUGGAAUUCCGCGUGUAGUAGUGAAAUGCGUAGAUAUGCGGAGGAACACCGAUGGCGAAGGCAAUUCCCUGGGCCUGCACUGACGCUCAUGCACGAAAGCGUGGGGAGCGAACAGG
rnacentral:rRNA from 1 species